rnacentral:rRNA from 1 species
UACAGAGAGUGCAAGCGUUAAUCGGAAUUACUGGGCGUAAAGCGCGCGUAGGUGGAUUAUUAAGUCGAGUGUGAAAUCCCUGAGCUUAACUUAGGAACUGCAUUCGAUACUAUUAGUCUAGAGUAUGGUAGAGGGAAGUGGAAUUUCCGGUGUAGCGGUGAAAUGCGUAGAUAUCGGAAGGAACACCAGUGGCGAAGGCGACUUCCUGGACCAAUACUGACACUGAGGUGCGAAAGCGUGGGUAGCAAACAGG